CUCAUGUCCGCGACUUUGUCCGCGUGGACUACACAAAUUUCAAACGCCUAUUUUACCCUCUUAGGGGUCGAAUUUUUACGAAUCCUUUCUAAUUGGACGUUAACAUCCUAGUAGCUAUCUAAAUAACAAAUUUCAGCCCGACCCGUCAAGUAGUUUGAGCUGUGCAUUGAAAGAUUAGUCAAUUUAGCUUUUCCUGUUAUGAUAUUUAGA